GCUGUGGCUCAGUGGCAGAGCGCUUGCCUGCCAUGUGUGAGGCCUGGGUUUGAUCCUUAGCACCGCA
rnacentral:tRNA from 1 species